CAGAGAUAUCGGUCAGCUCAGGGAAUGAGCCUGGCUCAUGCCCCUACGUGGAUUAACCAACUUUUCCGAGCUGAUUAAUGGUUUGACAGAAGAACUGCCUGGAGAGCAGCUGAAUUCCCACAGCAAAAUUCCUGACUGAGGGAAACGACCUUGGGUUCCUCCCCUUCCCGUAAAGCCUGGGAAAUCUGGGAAAAUCACAGCUCCAAAGGAGCUGCUCCCCUCGCCCCUGGAUUCAAAGAGAAAUGGAGAAACACUUGAGGAAGUUUUGAGAUAAAACCACUGCAGAUAAAAUUGAAAUAAGCCCUUCAGCCCUUUUUUUGUGUGGUAUUUAGGAUGCAAGGGAAAGAAAGGCUGGGUAAUCCCUGGGAUGAGGGAACAGCACAGCUGAGGUCCCAGAUUUUGAGGCCAGGUAAUGGCUGGAACAAAACACUAAUAUAGACUUUGUCUUUAAAAGCAAAAGCUUUAAAAAUUAGGAAUAGAACAGAAACUCUCAUUAAUUCAGGACUGUACAGAGCCUAAAGCCUCCUUAGGUUUUCAGCUCAAGGCAACUUUCUUUUUCAUGGGGCCAUAAACAGAUUUUUUCUGGCUUUUUAUAGCUGUUUCCUCUACUAAAAUCCAUUCAGCUGUCAAUCCAUCCUCCCUCAGAAGGUGUCACGGCAAUCUACCUUAAAUUUAAAAAAAAAGCCCAGGGAAGAAGAUCUUAUCUCCCAGAUGGAGAAUGGGACAGGAGGAAUAAUAAAAGUGAAAGUGAUUCACCAGGACUGGUGAUG